UACGUAGGUGGCAGGCGUUGUCCGGAUUUAUUGGGUUUAAAGGGUGCGUAGGCGGUCUUAUAAGUCAGUGGUGAAAUACGGCAGCUCAACUGUCGAGGUGCCAUUGAUACUGUAGGACUUGAGUACAGACGAGGUAGGCGGAAUUGACGGUGUAGCGGUGAAAUGCUUAGAUAUCGUCAAGAACACCGAUAGCGAAGGCAGCUUACUAGGCUGUAACUGACGCUGAGGCACGAAAGUGUGGGGAUCAAACAGG
rnacentral:rRNA from 1 species